AAUUACAGGGCGUAAAGAGUUCGUAGCCGGUUUGUCGCGUCGUUUGUGAAAACUCACAGCUCAACUGUGAGCCUGCAGGCGAUACGGGCUGACUUGAGUACUGCAGGGGAGACUGGAAUUCCUGGUGUAGCGGUGAAAUGCGCAGAUAUCAGGAGGAACACCGGUGGCGAAGGCGGGUCUCUGGGCAGUAACUGACGCUGAGGAACGAAAGCGUGGGUAGCAAACAGGAUUAGAUACCCUGGUAGACCACGCCGUAAACGGUGGGCGCUAGGUGUGGGUUCCUUCCACGGGAUCUGUGCCGUAGCUAACGCAUUAUGCGCCCGGCCUGGGGAGUACGGCCGCAAGGCUAAAACUCAAAGGAAUUGACGGGGGCCCGCACAAGCGGCGGAGCAUGUGGAUUAAUUCGAUGCAACGCGAAGAACCUUACCUGGGUUUGACAUAUUCCGGAAAGCCGUAGAGAUACGGCCCCCCUUGUGGUCGGUAUACAGCUGGUGCAUGGCAGUCGUCAGCUCGUGUCGUGAGAAGUUGGGUUAAGUCCCGCAACGAGCGGAUCCCUUGUCUUAUGUUGCCAGCACGUAAUGGUGGGGACUCGUAAGAGAC
rnacentral:rRNA from 1 species